GGGAAAAAAAAGAAAUGGCCUGAAUAAGGUUUGGAAAUAUUCUGUAGAUCGUCGACCAGUUUAUCCAAGCACGUGGUUCUAAUUAGACGAGUGUAACUUACACAUGGUGUUAAAAGUUAGAGAGGAUUCAAAACAGACAGGAUUAAUCCCGUUAAAGAACAUGGAACAAGUGGAGCGUCACUAAAGCUCAUCAUCAGAUCUGCGGUACCUGAAGCCUGCACUGUGUUCAUUACUCAACCACAUCUGUCACAUCGCUAAGGAACUACGAUACUCUAAUGCUUUCCAAUCAGGACACGGGUUCCUGCGCGGCAACACAAUUCAUCUCACUGCCUGCGGCGCUCGCUUCCACGGACACGACGCGCUGGUGAUGAAGAAACGAUUGAUUCGCUCCCGUGAAGUCGGCGGACUGUGGCUGAAGAUGGAUGGAAGCGGUGCGUCAUAAUUACUGGACAAACCUCCGCAGAGUCUCCGUUGUGUCAGCCUCCUAUGUGAAUCAAUAAUAAGCAGAUUUCUAGUUGUGCUCACGACUUUCAAACUCAUGUAUUUGUCACUGAGUUCCUUCUCAAACCAUCAAUAGCAUGAAUCGUGUGGACGUCAUAGAUUCAGUCGGGGCAUCUUUUAAGACGUCCGCGGUAUUGAUGCAGGUUUCAGAAUCUUCCCCGGUCGCAUGUGACCGCUGUGCAGCCAGAACCACGGCGCGAGGACACAGCCUGGUGUCUGGUGAGACAUAAAGAACGGAGGCGACGACGGAUGAAGACACAUCAAAACCGCAGCGUGACGGCGCAGCUCUGCCCUGCAGUCAGUAAUUGAUGCGUCGCUUCUUCUUCUUCUUCUUCUUCUUCUUCUUCUUCUUCUUCUUCUUCUCUUCUUUUUUUUACUGUACCAGUGGAACUAUGAGUCCAAUGAGUGCGGGCCUCAUUAGAGAUCGACGGACUGAGAUCGUACAACACAAACUAACAAAAACACAGAAAGGACUAAAAUCCGCUGGUACUCAAUCUAAUGCUAAUCGUUUUGGUUUCAUUUAAAUGAGAACAAUGAUUUUACCCAACUUAAGGCGUUCAAGUGGCGGAUGAUUUAUUUAAGGUGCUAUACUGCCAUCUAGCGUUCGACACAUGCUAUUUCCGCUUGAACCCAUUGACCUGCCUCUAAGCACUAAAUAAGACUUAUACCCACAUGUCAGGUGGGUCUUGCUUCAGUCGGCUGUGACUCUGAGCACAGUUAAAACUGACCCGUUUGCACGAUGGCUCGAUUCUACCCACACAAUACACACCGGCGCUGGUCUCUCGUCUCGUUCGUCUAAUGGAGGGCAGACUCGUUCGUGCCGUGAGUCAUCAGAGUCUUGGCAGGCUCCGGGGAGGCCAGCGUCUGUUUGCUCGUGAGUCAGUCACUUCCCGGGCGUUGGUGAUUGUUCUGAUUUCCAAAUGGGUGCAGCCGCAGGAGGUAAAAAGGUGAUGCCUGUGGUGUUUGUGGGUCACAGGUGUGGCCAGAGGUUCCGCUUCUGACAGACUGAACCUGUAGCAAGUGCAUUAAAGGUUCAUGCCUCCUUUAAAAUCACUGCAUGUCUGCAUAUUUAGCAGCAUUGCCCUAAAGUCUUAAAGUUAUUAUUCUUUAACCUUAUAUUUCAUAUAGAAUGAACUAGAUGUUCAGUUUAGUGCAAUAUGUUUUUAUUUUAUUUCUCCAUUUUCUAGGUUCUUACUCAUUUAUUCCUCUAACUGAUUUCCGUCACCGUAGCACCAGUAAAAACCAGCAAACGUUAUUCAUCGAACCAAACAAAGUUAAAGUUUAUUAUAGAAUAUUACUAACGCUUCACAUUAAUUUAUCCGCGUUUUAAUUCUUCCAAUUUCUAUGAGUCACAGUGGAAAGUGUAUGUGGGCUGGUUGCGUGCGUUUCUCCCACUAUAGACUGGUUUUUAGGGAGUGACCCCGGUCGCUGUGACUAAUAACGCUGGUGGGGUGAUAGCUUACAGAUCAACCCUUAUCUUACGCAAUGCCUCUUCAAAUGACGCACGUUCCCCCCCGCUUCCAUCCAGCAGACAUUCUGGUUUCACUGGUGGAAAACGCUCCACGCGUUCUCCAGCUUUGCCGUUGCAGACCUGGUGUUUGGACAUUUAGUUGGUUCUUGUUUGUGAUCCCAGUAUAACUAUGGCCUUUUUGCAUUUUUUGCUUUUGAGGUCAAACUGAAAUCUGUCAGUCUGACAAUCUGUAAGAGAUUGAGAUUUUCAAUUGAUUUCAUUUUGCUUCACGUGCACAUAGGCCCCGCCACUAGGUGGCGCCACACCACACUGAAAGGUGUGACAGGCCUGUUACAUACCUGAGUGACGGGCUUAAACAGACGUGCUUUGGCUCAUGUUUAUGAUUGUCUGUCAUCCCAAAAUUCCUGGUGGUUUGGUCUGAGUCUUGUGUAGCUGGCAAGACACAAAAUAUGAUUUUUGGCAAAGAAGAUCUAUCGCCAUUUCAAGAGAAACCAUGUGAUGUGACAAUAAGUCAAGGAGGAGCUGGAUAUAAAGACCUGGCUCAUGGUGCUGAGGAUCCUAUAUCAUAGGAAAAAUACACCGGCUGAAUGAAAUCAAGACCAAACACAAUCAUCUAACAGAUGGGCUUGUUUUCUGAAAAAUACAUUUGGGAAAUUAAAUUUAAUGAUUAUCUUAAAUGUGCUUGUUUGCCACAGUGGGGAUUACCCAGAUUCUCCAAAUGAUAGCUGUUAUGUAAAACUACAUUUAGUAAGAGAUCCUUAGAACCGUGCCCACAGUGACGGGGACUGAAAAAAAGGGAAAAAAACAUCUGUGUAAAAAUGAGAAGCGAUUGGAAUUUAUGAUAAAGCGCUGCAGCAUGACUGUAUUUAACUCUUCCCCCGUUCCACAGAGCAUCUGAUACUGGCUUUGUGUCGGGUUUAUGGAGGAGCCUCGUAGCAAAUUAGUCCCUCAUUGAAAUCAAACCGCAAAGUUAGCAGAAACGGCGCAAAAGCUGUGAGUGACUCAUCCAAAAGCCCACCUGAAAAAACAGGGGCUCCUGAAGGUCGGACUGGAGCGCUGACCCAACCACACGCCCCAGUUCAGAGUCGCACUAAGAUUAACCAGUCAGAUCACUGGCGAGCAGCUGUCAAUCAAAUCGAAUCGGUAUGUGACCCAGACUUCUUCUGUGUUUGCUUUACCAGUUUAUUAUGAAAAUAAAAU
rnacentral:lncRNA from 1 species